GACGAACGCUGGCGGCGUGCCUAAUACAUGCAAGUCGAACGGACAGGCCCUGCUUUUGUGGGGCGCUCGAGUGGCGAACGCGUGAGUAACACGCGAGUAACCUGCCCUUGACUUUGGGAUAACUUCAGGAAACUGGGGCUAAUAUCGGAUAGGAGCUCCUGCUGCAUGGUGGGGGUUGGAAAGUUGCGGCGGUAGGGGCUGGAAUAGCGGCUUAUCAGCUUCUUGGUGGGGUAGGGGAUUACCAAGGGUUAGACGGGUAGCCGGCCUGGGAGGGUGACCGGCCACAUGGGGACUGCGAGAGGGCCCAGUCGCCAACGGGAGGCAACGGGGGGGAAUAUUGCGCAAUAGGGCGGAGCCUGAGAUGGCAACGUCGCGUUCGUGAUGACGUCCUUCUGGUUGUAAACCACUUUCGCCUGUGACAAAGCGUUAUUGACGGUAAUUGGUAAGGAAGCACCGGCUAACUACGUG
rnacentral:rRNA from 1 species